AUUGAACGCUGGCGGCAUGCCUUACACAUGCAAGUCGAACGGCAGCGCGGACUUCGGUCUGGCGGCGAGUGGCGAACGGGUGAGUAAUGUAUCGGAACGUACCAUUGAGUGGGGGAUAACGUAGCGAAAGUUACGCUAAUACCGCAUAUUCUCUCCGGAGGAAAGCAGGGGACCGCAAGGCCUUGCGCUCUUUGAGCGGCCGAUAUCAGAUUAGCUAGUUGGUGGGUAAAAGCUCACCAAGGCGACGAUCUGUAGCGGGUCUGAGAGGAUGAUCCGCCACACUGGAACUGAGACACGGUCCAGACUCCUACGGGAGGCAGCAGUGGGGAAUUUUGGACAAUGGGGGCAACCCUGAUCCAGCCAUGCCGCGUGUGUGAAGAAGGCCUGCGGGUUGUAAAGCACUUUAAGCAGGAAAGAAGGGGUGGGAGCUAAUAUCUUUCAUCAUUGACGUUACCUGCAGAAUAAGCACCGGCUAACUCCGUGCCAGCCGCCGCAGUAACAC
rnacentral:rRNA from 1 species